GUUUGACUGGGGCGGUCGCCUCCUAAAAUGUAACGGAGGCGCCCAAAGGUUCCCUCAGAAUGGUUGGAAAUCAUUCGCAGAGUGUAAAGGCACAAGGGAGCUUGACUGCGAGACCUACAAGUCGAGCAGGGACGAAAGUCGGGCUUAGUGAUCCGGUGGUUCCGCAUGGAAGGGCCAUCGCUCAACGGAUAAAAGCUACCCCGGGGAUAACAGGCUUAUCUCCCCCAAGAGUCCACAUCGACGGGGAGGUUUGGCACCUCGAUGUCGGCUCAUCGCAUCCUGGGGCUGUAGUCGGUCCCAAGGGUUGGGCUGUUCGCCCAUUAAAGCGGUACGCGAGCUGGGUUCAGAACGUCGUGAGACAGUUCGGUCCCUAUCCGUCGCGGGCGCAGGAAAUUUGAGAGGAGCUGUCCUUAGUACGAGAGGACCGGGAUGGACGCACCGCUGGUGUACCAGUUGUUCUGCCAAGGGCAUCGCUGGGUAGCUAUGUGCGGACGGGAUAAGUGCUGAAAGCAUCUAAGCAUGAAGCCCCCCUCAAGAUGAGAUUUCCCAUUCCGCAAGGAAGUAAGAUCCCUGAAAGAUGAUCAGGUUGAUAGGUCUGAGGUGGAAGCGUGGUGACACGUGGAGCUGACAGAUACUAAUAGAUCGAGGACUUAACCUAU
rnacentral:rRNA from 1 species